CUUUGCCUUACAGGACAGAAGUUGUACAAGUGAAGAAUGAAUAUCUCUGCUCUGUUGGUGUUUAUUUCUGCUGUCGUGUCUGUUUAUGGGUAUUAUGAACUGCCCUGCUCUGACUGCAAUCAUCCUUGUACUGCUGAUCGCUUGAAAAACGUCACAGAACAAUUAUUCGAGCACAUGAACUUUACCGACUGCAAAGAGAACGAACACUUUUCAAAAAGAGCCAAUCCUACCUGGAAGUGCGAACCAUCACACCCGGUUUUCAACAGACAUCCUGAAACUGUCUUUAAUGCCAUAUGUGGAAACUGCAAAGAUGGAUCUGAGGCAGUAUCGAUUUUGCAAAAUAUCAGCAUGUUAUUCAGAAAGUCCUGCCUGAACAGAAAUAACUCUAAUAAUAACAUAAUAUUAUAUGUAAAACCAGUCACAAUCUCAUUAGGCUGUACGUGUGUAAAGAAAACUCCUUUUUAAAGAACAAUAUGUAAAUUAUGCCUGGAUGAUAUGGAUGAUCUUUUAUGUUUUUGACAAAAAUGCUCUUAAUGUUUUUUACAAUGCAUGUUUGUAAAAACGUUCUCAAAACCAUGUAAUAAUUUGGCUGUGUAUAUAUA
ensembl:lncRNA